rnacentral:rRNA from 1 species
GACGAACUGUCCUAACGUUGUUCGGAAUCACUGGGCUUAAAGGGCGCGUAGGCGGUCGACCAAGUCAGGGGUGAAAUCCUGCAGCUUAACUGUAGAAGUGCCUUUGAUACUGGUCGUCUCGAGGGAGGUAGGGGUGUGCGGAACUUCCAGUGGAGCGGUGAAAUGCGUUGAUAUUGGAAGGAACGCCGGAGGCGAAAGCGGCGCACUGGACCUCUUCUGACGCUGAGGCGCGAAAGCUAGGGGAGCAAACGGG